CACAAGGAUGAGGUAAUUUGCGAUUGAUUCUGCUUGAUGGCUCUCUUUCGCCGGAGUGGCUAAAUCGGGCGGAUAGCUGAUAUUCAAUUUCUUACAUAUUCUGAAA
rfam:Fusarium oxysporum f. sp. cubense tropical race 4 54006 unplaced genomic scaffold supercont1.61, whole genome shotgun sequence.